UACGAAGGGGGCGAGCGUUGUUCGGAAUUACUGGGCGUAAAGGGCGCGUAGGCGGCGACCCAAGUCAGAUGUGAAAAGUCCUGGGCUUUAACCUGGGGGACUGCAUUUUUGAUACUGGGUUGCUUUUGAAUUCGGGAGAGGAUAGCGGAAAUUUUCCCCAGUGUAGAGGUGAAAUUUCGUAGAUAUUGGGGAAGAACACCGGUGGC
rnacentral:rRNA from 1 species